UUAUUCUGCCGGUCCCCCCAUGGAAGACUAGUGAUUUUGUUGUUGUAAUCAAAAGAAAACAUAAAAUCACUGUCUGCCACUGGGGUGGCUGGCC
rnacentral:pre_miRNA from 1 species